CUGAGGUGGACACGUCACGUACAUUUCUCCUUGCUGUGUGUCUGUCUCAAUGUGGUCCAUCCCCCUGCUCUGUAGUGCCCCGCUCCCCAAUGGGUCCCUAUCGUGGGGGGCUUGGGGGUGGUAACAGCUCCCGCGCUCGUUUUUACUGAGCGGUUACGUUGCCAUAAUGGAGCGUGCCGUAGUAGUAGCAGCACUGUAGUGAGCCGCUUUGUUAAUUGUAUUGCAGGAGGAACAGUGAGCUCCAUUCAGAUAUGAGGAUCCCUCCACUGUGCAAGAUGGAUGACACCAAGACACAAAAUGGACGGCGUGUCAACUCAGUCUGCCUCAGCUUCAGCGGGAUGGAUCCGGACCUUCUACUGUGAUGUUGGAAUCUCACAGGAGGAACUCAGAUCAGACAUGAUGUUACUCAGUCUUGUUUCACCACUGCACUGAUGCAGGGGAGAUGGAAGAAGUACAGAGGACAGCAGACAGCGUAUGUAUGCAAACAUUAGGAGAACUGGUCAGAUGACAUGGACUCCAGUGCCAGCAAUAUGCAGGCCAGCCCUGCUCCUACAUCAUAUACAGCCACAUUACUACCACCAGGAUGGCUCGGUGCAUGGAAGAAAUGAGCUCAUGGAUGAAGAACAGUUGGCUGAAGCUGAACUUAAACAAGACAGAUGCAGCAAUGCGAUGUACCUGAGCAUGAAGCCUUCAAAGCUAAGGAAAUUCCAGCUAGUACAGAAUGCUGCAGCACGUCUCUUCAUCAACAUGGGCUACCGCCAACACAUCAAACCUGUCCUCCACUCCCUAUCCUGGCUUCCCAUGGAAUUUCAAAUCAAGUUCAAGGUCUUGAUCCUUACCUCAGGGUGCUCCAUGGCCUGUCCCAGGAUAUCUAGAGGCUGACUAAUGCUCUGGAAUGAAAAUGGUGUUUGACAACUUUGCUCCUCUGGCAUAGUGGAACCCCCCACAAUAAGAGUAAAGUUCGUUCCUGUGAGAUAGAACUUUUCAGGAAGACUGUACAAGGAGCUCUCUCCAAGACGGUACAAGGAGCUCCCUCAAGAGGAAACUGGGACUGACCUUGCAAUCUUUGCUCAUGCCAGGGUCUGUCUAUCAUUACAGCUUGUCAGAUAAUAGUCAGUAAAUAAUUUAUUUGAAGAAUUUUCCAAUAUGAUUUUGCAAAUAUUUUUUCCAAUGUAGAGAGCUGGGUAAAAAUAAUAAAUCAGUCCUGAAUAUUUGAGUUUCACAACAUUUUUGGAAUAAAGAAUUCUCAAGUA